rnacentral:lncRNA from 1 species
AGUCCUGCAGGGCGGGGCAAACUUGGAGAGGCGCUGCGUCGGGGGACGGGGCUACAAGCCGUCGCUGGGGGCGGGGCUUGCGGCCCACCUGUAGGUCCCGGUGCCACCUCGUCAGUGUCCCGAGAGAUCCCCAGAAGAACGAGAGGGCUGAACAGGGGACCCCACUGACGUCCGGUGGGCCGACUUUACGAUCCUUUAGGGUAAAAAUUUCAUCUAGGAAGACCUAGAGAUAACAAUAAACGAUUAUAGUUUAACUUAGGAUGGUAAUAUAUCUCAACUACGACGAAGUCCAGCACAUAGUAAUCGCUAUGUGUUUACUAUGAUGAUUUUUAUUAUCUUCAUCUAACAACAACAACAACAAAAAGGCCAGAGGCAUCUGUGCAAAGCUCGAUAAUGCUAAUGGAUUAUGUUUAUUAAGUAUUCACUGUGUAUUUGGUUUUGCGUUUUAUUAUACCUACGUUCUUUCAUUUGUUAUCAAGGUCUCUAUGAAGUCAGAGCUAUUACUAUCAGCAUUUUACCCAUGAAGAAACCGAGGUUUAGAGAGAUUCUUUUCCAGGAACUGGAUAGCCAGCAAGAUGUGAAGCAGGAUGAAGAAACUAAGACUCAGAGAAGACAAAUGACAUGCCCAAAGACACAUUGAUAAGAACGCAUCUGGUAGUGGUGUUCGAGUCCAGCGUUGCAGCAGAGAGAUGGGUAACUGUAUGGCCGAACAGCUGUCUUCUCGUGGAAGAAGGAGGCCAAUGUCCAGGAGUGGCAGGCAUACUGGAACUUGGACUUCUGUAGGCCAACCUGGGUUCCACUUGGUAGAUGGGGGUCUUGCUGUGUUGCCCAGGCUGGUCUCAAACUCCUGGCCUGAAGCAGUCCUCCUCCCUUAGCCUCCAGAGUAGCUGGGACUACAGGUACACACCACUGCAACCCCUCAGUGGUUGUUAUUUAACUGAAGGGGGUUUUAGCUUUCAUGUAUCAGCUCACUCUGGAGCCAGACAGCCUGGCCUUCAUGGCAGCUCUGCCCCUUACUACCUGUGUGACAUCGGGCAACGUUACUGAGUGUCAGAUUUCUUAUUUGUAAAACAGGGAUAAAAAUGACAUUGCUGUGCAAAUUAAAAGAAAGAAUCCAUGUGAGAUAUUUAGCACACUGGCAUACAAUGAGAGCUUAAUAAACAUUGUUAGUUUUGUAAACUGAGGGAAAAAAAUAGCCACAGGCCUGGGAACAUAAAUGCUUGGUAAGCUUCUCAGUUCCCUGGAAGUCUGACACGCAAUGUGUAUGUAUGAACAAGGCAGGAGGAAGCAUGACACCAAGCCUUCCUUUUAACAAACACUGUUUAAAUCAGAGGUCGGAAGUCAUGGACUGGAGAUUCAUUCUCUCCCCACUCAUUUCUGCCCAGAGACACCUGGUGAUCUGGCAUACACAGUGCUAUGAACCUCAGAAUUAUUUGCUAGCAUUUACAAAUUGUGAGUACUCCCACAUACAAACUGUGGUAGAUGGAAUAAUGCCUCCCCACAAAAAUGUCCACAGCCUAAUCCCUGGAACCUGGGAAUAUGUUACUUUACACAGCAAAGGAAUGUUGCAGCUGUGAUUGGAGAUUGAGAUAGGGAGAGUGUAUUAGUCUGUUGUCAUGCGGCUAUGAAGAAAUACCUGAGACUGGGUAAUUUACAAAGAAAAGAGGUUUAAUUCACUUACAGCUCAGCACGGCUGGUUGGGGGGGCGCCCUCAGGAAAUUUACAAUCAUGGUAGGAGGCACCUCUUCACAGGGUGGCAGGAGAGAAAAUAAGAGCAGAGCGAAGGGGGAACCCCUUAUAAAACUGUCAGAUCUCAUGAGAACUCACUGUCAUGAGAACAGCAUGGGGGAAACCGCCCCCAUGAUCCAUCACCUCCACCUGGUCCCCCCCUUGUUACAAUUCAAGGGGAUUGUAACAAUUCAAGGUGAGAUCUGGGUGGGGACACAGAGCCAAACCAUAUCAGAGAGUCUUCCUGCAGUGUCCGGGUGGGUGCGGCAUGUUCAUAGGGUCUUAGAAGAGGGAAGCAAGAGGUGAGAGGACAGAAAUGCCACAUUGCUGGCUUUGAGGGUGGGGCCAGAGGAGGGACCUGCAGGCAGAGAUAGAGCUGGAAAUGGAAAGGAAACCUUCUCCCUUAGAGUCUCCAGAAGAAGUGCAGCCCUACAGACCUGUGUUAGGCUUCAGACCUCCAGAAUUGUAAAAUAAUAAAAUUGCAUUAUUUUAAGCCACUCGAGGCCCAUGUCCUCAACAAAGAGAAAGACGGUGGGGUGCUGUCAGCCAGGGUAGGUACCUGCUUGGUGGUCUGGGUCCUUUCCCACUGUGUCCAUUCAGUUACAUUACCUGCCCAUCUGCUGAGGCCUCGAGUUUGGGACCUCAGGUUUAUAUAAUUCCUUGCACAAGCAUGAUCGAUUGAUUCCGGAGAGUAGCAGAACACUGAUAUGCAGGGGAAUCUCCUAGUUCCAAGUGUGAGUUGUAGUCUAGACACUUCCUGUUCCCUACAGUCUUUUUUUUUUUUUUUUUUUUUUUUGAGACAAAGUUUUGCUCUGUUGCCCAGGCUGGAGUGCAGUGGUGUGAUCUCGGCUCACUGCAACCUCUGCCUCCUGGGUUCAAGCAAUUCUGCCUCAGCCUCCCGAAUAGCUGGGAUCACAGGCACAUGCCACCAUGCCCAGCUAAUUUUUGUAUUUUUAGUAGAGUUAGGGUUUCGCCAUGUUGGCCAGGGUGAUCUCAAACUCUUGACCUCACAUGAUCCGCCCGCCACAGCCUCCCAAAGUGCUGGGAUUACAGGCGCAAACCACCGCCCCCAGCCCUCUUCCCUACUGCCUUGAUGUGUUCAUCUGGGCAAUGUGUGUUGAGGGGGCAUAGGGAGGGGAGCUCUAAGGCAAAUGUGCUGGGAUUCUGCAUUCGUCAUCCUCAAAACAAAAUUGGUCCCUAGGUAGUUCUGCCUGUGAUCCUGCAUAAUGUGCAAAGCCAGUAAGAUGCCUUUGCCUCAUCCCCAGGGAACAUGCCUCCCAGCCACUUUCAUCUCACCUAGUGCCUACACAGAAAGGCAACCGCCUCCCUGCUGAAGGGACCCCACGCCUGUCUCCUGUUUCCACACAAUUACCCCGGGAAAUGCCUGGCUUCCCAUUUCCAGUUGCAGCCAUCUUGACAGUUUCAGCCUCUCCCCACAGCCCACGUCCCUCACUUGAGCAGCGAGAUGUGAAGACAGACAGCCGCUUGAGAACUGCACAGACUGUCCUUAAUCUAAGCCAUUUAAAAGGCAUUUGUGUUCCAUAAAACCCGUUUCUGUAAUUCUGUGCCCCUACUUCUUUGAAAGAUGAUAACCCUAGGGAGGAGAUUAGCCAGGGAGGAGAAGUUCAGAUGUGCUAAUAUUUUAAUCGCUCAUUCUUUCAUCACAUUAGUCACAUUCAUUAAGUAUGAUUAAUUUCAGGCUUUGUUGAAAACCCUAUCAGUUUCCCUAUCAGCCACACAUCCAUCUCUUGCCAAGCAGGCUGGUGCAGUAGCACCAAAAGUCCCCCAGUGUUUUUUACACCUGGAUUGUAUUAUGUGCCCCCUGAAAAUGUGUGGAAUUAAUUGAGCUCAUUUGUUUCAAAUACUUUGCAAGAGCCUGGGCUCUUGAGUCAGGCGGCCUAAGUGUGAUCCUAAGUCCUCCCAUUGCUGGAGUCACCUGGGCAAGUGACUGACGCCCUCUGAGCCCUGGUGUCCUCGUCUGAGGAUGGAGAUAAGAAUACCUAACUCGAAAGUUGGUUGUGAAGAUGAAAGAAGGCUUUCAAAUUGCUAAGUUAGUUGGUUAUGAUUGUAAUUAAGGGCCCUUGGAGAUGGAUCAUUCAUCCAUUCAUUCAUCCAUUCAGAAGAUUUGUGUACAGUGACUACUGUAUGCAACCCUGUGUGUCCACUGCUGAUGAGAGAGACAGCAGCAAACACAGCAGUCAAAUGCGUGUGGCCCCCAGGACCUUAUAUUUUAGUGGUGGAAGCUAGACAACCACCAAACAUGUAAUAUACCAGAUGGUGGUACGUUCUAUGGAGGAAAGAAAGGACGAGGGGCAGGGAGUCCUGGGCUGGUGGGACAGGGUGCUAUGGCUCAGAGGGAACUCAGAGAUCACCUAAUUCAGGCCCUGACCUGGAGGGCUCAUGCUUUGCACACUGUGCUAAGAAUUUGGACUUUCUUUCUCCAAGAAUAAGGACAAUGAGAGCCAGCAAGCAGGGAAGUGGAGCAAGGAUGGUGCCGUCCGGCUGCUCAGCUGCUGGCUGGAACUCCCGGAGGACUCUGUGAGGAUGCAGGUAGAAGGUGUGUAAGCAUGUGACUGCAUGGAAGCCCUCGGCAUGUGAUCCACUCCGUGUUCCAAAUUGCCAUCCUUUCUGCGUGCUGUUAGGGACUUCCCCCAGCUCUCCCUGCAGAGUGAGGAGUACUCUGAGACAGACGGGUCUAGGAUGAACUGUGUUGAUGGAGAAAUGAACAUUUUUUGGAGGGAAGGAAGAUUUCGGGGUGUGGGGCAUAAGUUGAAGGAGUAUGGCUCUGAAAGUCCUUGGGCAGUUUGUAGAGGACAGAGAAGGUGGUAAUGUCAGUUUCUGCCCCUCUCCCACCUCCACCUCUGGCCUUCUCAGUGGUCCUAUGGCUCCCUACCUUCAGUCAUCUUGUUCUCAAGCCUGAAGUGCUGGAUCCACUCAGCUGCAACCCAGCUCAACACCUCUGUGGAAGCUUUGCCCAUCAAUCAGGAGAAGCUGAGAUCCAGAGACUGAUGCCCACGUUCUGUCUUUGCAGAGGGAAGCCCACCAGAGCCCUCUUCUCUCUGGGGAGGAGCUGGCUCCCUGAAUCUCCAAGACAAACCCAGACAGCCCUGGGGACCUUGAAUGUGAGCAAGGGGAGCAGAAAGGAGGCUCCAGCCCACCCAGGGCCCCUGCAGGGUCUGCACACACAAUUACAGGUCCUCAUUUCCCUCUCCUAAUGAUGCCCCAAAACAUUAAGGGAAGUUAAAUCAAACCACCAGGUGUCCAGCAUGAACAGCUGAA